rnacentral:rRNA from 1 species
GAAUUUUAUAUAAAUUAUUAUAAAAUAAAUUAAAAAUUUAUAUUUUAUUGGGAGGAUAAUUAAAUUUAAAUAACUUUAAUGUAGGAAAACUUUGAUUAAUGGAAAGAAAAAGAGAUGAUUAAUAAAGAAUUAUAAGAGAUUAAAUUACCUUAGGGAUAACAGCAUAAUAUUUUUUUUUAGAUCAUAUAUAAAAAAAUGCUUAU